UGGGGAAUAUUGCACAAUGGGCGCAAGCCUGAUGCAGCCAUGCCGCGUGUAUGAAGAAGGCCUUCGGGUUGUAAAGUACUUUCAGUCGGGAGGAAGGUGGUAAGGUUAAUAACCUUAUCAAUUGACGUUACCGACAGAAGAAGCACCGGCUAACUCCGUGCCAGCAGCCGCGGUAAUACGGAGGGUGCAAGCGUUAAACGGAAUUACUGGGCGUAAAGCGCCCGCAGGCGGUUGAUUGAGUCAGAUGUGAAAUCCCCGAGCUUAACCCGGGAAUUGCAUCUGAUACUGGUCAGCUAGAGUCUUGGAAAGGGGGGUAGAAUUCCAUGUGUAGCGGUGAAAUGCGUAGAAAUGUGGAGGAAUACCGGUGGCGAAGGCGGCCCCCUGGACAAAGACUGACGCUCAGGUGCGAAAGCGUGGGGAGCAAACAGG
rnacentral:rRNA from 1 species